rnacentral:rRNA from 1 species
UACGGGGGGGGCAAGCGUUGUUCGGAAUUACUGGGCGUAAAGGGCUCGUAGGUGGCCAACUAAGUCAGACGUGAAAUCCCUCGGCUUAACCGGGGAACUGCGUCUGAUACUGGAUGGCUAGAGAUUGGGAGAGGGAUGUGGAAUUCCAGGUGUAGCGGUGAAAUGCGUAGAUAUCUGGAGGAACACCGGUGGCGAAGGCGGCAUCCUGGACCGGUAUUGACGCUGAGGAGCGAAAGCCAGGGGAGCAAACGGG